rnacentral:rRNA from 1 species
UUGAACGCUGGCGGCAUGCCUUACACAUGCAAGUCGAACGCCCCGCAAGGGGAGUGGCAGACGGGUGAGUAACGCGUGGGAAUCUACCGUACCCUACGGAAUAACGCAUGGAAACGUGUGCUAAUACCGUAUACGCCCUUUGGGGGAAAGAUUUAUCGGGGUAUGAUGAGCCCGCGUUGGAUUAGCUAGUUGGUGGGGUAAAGGCCUACCAAGGCGACGAUCCAUAGCUGGUCUGAGAGGAUGAUCAGCCACAUUGGGACUGAGACACGGCCCAAACUCCUACGGGAGGCAGCAGUGGGGAAUAUUGGACAAUGGGCGCAAGCCUGAUCCAGCCAUGCCGCGUGAGUGAUGAAGGCCCUAGGGUUGUAAAGCUCUUUCACCGGUGAAGAUAAUGACGGUAACCGGAGAAGAAGCCCCGGCUAACUUCGU